CUUCCUCCCACUCCCAACCUCGAGCCCCCGACCUCCAUCCCUCAACCUUCUCUCCUCCUCCAUCUCCGCCCCUGAACUGCCUUUCUCCUCUAUCUCUAUCUCUGCACCUGUCCCAGUCGUCUUUCUCUCCUUUUCCUCCUUCUCGCCCCCGUGCUGCCCUUCUCGCCCCACGUGCUGCCUUUGGUCGAACAGAAAUAGAAAGAGGAGAGCAUUCGCAGUGGCCCCUGAGGAAGGGGACGUCACGCCUCCUUUUCUUGACGUCGCAGACUCUGCUCCGCCUGAGGAACCAUCGCUGCGCCUCUCUGCUCCGCCCGAGGAAUCGGCACAGUCCGGCCUCAUCCUCUUCGCUCGCUGCUCGUCUAAAAGUUGUUUGUGCCUGAGGAAUCGUCGCCCACCAUCGAAUCACUUGUCAAUCACGUAGGAACUAGACGGUGAUGCAUCUUCUAAAGUAUUACAUGGAUUUGAUGAGAAGCGUAGUGUGCAGGACAGAAGACUAGUUAUCUAGCAAGUUGUCAUAGUUGUUUUUGUUUUAUGGUUUACAACAAUUGAAUAUUUUAAACAAUUUGUAUUUUGUAGUUUUAGUUGAUACUGGUGACUAUAUAGAUGUUUAAACAUUGUACAAUAAUAAUGUUUUGUUAUAUAUAUAUGAAUGUAUUGAAAUAGUUG